rnacentral:rRNA from 1 species
UACGUAGGGUGCGAGCGUUGUCCGGAAUUAUUGGGCGUAAAGAGCUUGUAGGCGGUUUGUCGCGUCUGCUGUGAAAUUUCGGGGCUCAACCCCGACUUGCAGUGGGUACGGGCAGACUAGAGUGUGGUAGGGGAGACUGGAAUUCCUGGUGUAGCGGUGAAAUGCGCAGAUAUCAGGAGGAACACCGAUGGCGAAGGCAGGUCUCUGGGCCACUACUGACGCUGAGAAGCGAAAGCAUGGGGAGCGAACAGG